ACAAUGCAAGAAGAACGCCGACCGCAGAGACGAUAGGGUUCCGUUCCCUUCUACAAAGAAGAAGAAGAAGGAGACCAGAUAGCGGAAUUGAUGACCGUCCACUUCCUCCCUUCGCCGAUGGAGAGGAAAGAGGGAUCUCCCUCCUUCGAUUUCGCGCAAGAGGAACAGAAUUCUCCCAACGGCAAGCUUUCUCCUCUUCUGUUCGUUCUUCUUGCAGAUCUCUUCCCUUCUUGCAG
rnacentral:lncRNA from 1 species